rnacentral:lncRNA from 1 species
CUCUUCCUCCUUCCGCCUCGUAAGACACGUCUCUUUCCUCUUCGCCCUCCGCCAUGAUUUAGAGACGGGGUUUCACCGUGUUGGCCAGGAUGGUCUCCAUCUCUUGACGUCGUGAUCCACCCGCCUCGGCCUCCCAAAGUGCUGGGAUUACAGGCGUGAGCCACCGCACCCGGCCGAUAUUACAAAAUCUUUUCCUGACACGAACCUGGCGGCUUAGGACAACACACACUUACUCUCUCACAGUUCCUGAGGCUGGAAGUCCAGAAGUCGGGGUGCUGGCAGGACGUGCUCUUCUGAAGCCUCCAGGGCAGGGCCAGCCGCAUGCCCGUCUCCUCGCUUGGGCACCUGCCAGCGGUCCCCGGCGGUCCCCGGCUCAUUGCUGCAUGGCUCCAACGUCCGCCUCUCCCACCAUGUGGCCUCCUCCUGGUGUCUCUGUGUCCAAAUCUCCCGCUCUGUCUAAGGAUAACAGUCACUGGUCAUGGGACCCAUCCUAAUCCAGGGUGACCUCGUAUUAACCUCAUCACAUCUGCAAAGACUAUUUCCAAGUCAAGCCACACUCCCAGCUGCUGGGGGCGGGACUUGAACAUAUUUUUUGUGGGGACACAAUUCCCCUCUCAGGUUUUAAGAUUUGUCUUUAUCAUUAAAGUUUUCAAAACUAACUAUCAUGUGUCAGGUCAACAUUUUGUUUUCCCCUUUUCACCUGAAAACUUACAUUUCUCUUCAAUUUGGGGAAAUUUUUCCUGUGUGUGUCUGUGUCUGUGUCUGUGUGUGUCUAUGUGGUGUGUCUGUGUUUUCUGUGUGGGUAUGUGUGGUAUGUGUGUUUUCUGUGUACGUGUGGUGUGCGUGUGUAGGUGGGUGGUCUCUGGUAUUUGUGUAUGUCUGGGUUUUCUGUGUAUGUGUGGUAUGUGUCUGUGUGUGUGCUUGUGUAUCUGUGUGUGUGUUCAUCUGUGUGUACGUGUGGUGUGUAUCUCUGUGUGUGUGCUUGUGUAUCUGUGUGUGUUCAUCCGUUUGUGUGGUAUGUGUCUCUGUGUGUGUGUAUGCUUGUGUAUCUCUGUUCAUCUGUAUGUGUGGUGUUUGCUUGUGUAUCUGUAUGUGUGUGUUCAUCUGUAUGUGUGGUAUGUGUCUCUCUGUGUGUGUGCUUGUGUAUCUGUGUCUUUCUGUGUGAUGCAUGUGUCUGUGUGUUCAUCUGUGUGUACGUGUGGUGUGUAUGUGGGGGGGGUUGUGUGGUAUGUAUGUGUGUAUAUGGGUGGUGUGUGAGUAUGCAUCUGUGUGGUGUGUGCAUCUGUGUGUGUGGUAUGUGUGUGUGUGCAUCUGUGGGUCUGUGGGGGUGUGUGUCUGGUGUGUGUGUGUGUAUGGGUGGUGUGUGAGUAGGCAUCUGUGCGCAUCUGUGUGUGUGGUAUGUGUGUGUGAUGUGUGUAUCUGUGGUGUGUGUGUGCAUCUGUGGGUCUGUGGUAUGUGGGGAGGGUGUCUGUGGUAUGUGUGUAUGUGUAGGGUGUGAGUGUGCAUCUGUGUGCAUCUGUAUGUGUGUGGUAUGUAUGUGUCUGUGCGAUUGUCUGUGGUGUGUGUGUGCAUCUGUGUGUCUGCGGUGUGUAUGUGUGUGGUGUGUGUGUGGUGUGUGAGUGUGCAUCUGUGUGCGCCUGUGUGUCCGUGUGUGGGUGGUGCCUCCUCUCUGCCCUCCUCCCUCUCUGUCCUCCUUCUGGAAAGCCUGCUGGAUGGCUACGACGACGACUUGUGGAUCUCACCUCCGUGUUUCUCAGCUUUUCCUUGACAAUUUAUUUCUAGGUCCACAAUCUGCGGAGUCGCCUUCCUGGGCUCAGUCUUCAUCCUGUCAAUGUUUUCAUCUUCAUCCAUUUUGCUACUCAGUCCCUUCACGGUGGCGUUUUAUUUGAAUUCAUGUUUGUACUGUUCCUUUUCUUUCUCCAGCUGAUCCCUCUCUGCACACACAGCAUUCUCCUGGCUCUCGCCGAGAUGUCUACACACAUUCCGGAGUCUCCUAAUUGCUUUCUCAGUUAUGUUUCCCAGGGGCGGGAGUGGGGUGACUCCUUCCCUCGGUUGCGCUGCCGUUUCCUUUCUGUCUUGGCUGUCUUCCAUGCUUGGUGUGGUAGCUGAAUAACGGCCCCCAAAGAUGUCCUGGUCCUGAUCCCUGGCACCUGUGAAUAUGGGACCAAAAGGGACACUGAUGAUAUGAGUAAGUUGAGGCUCUGGAGAUGGGAGAUUAUCUCGGAUUAUCUAGGUGGUCCUAAUGUCAUCACAGACUCCUUAUAAUAUGGAAGCAAGUGCUUAACGAUGGGAAUACAUUAAAAAAGGAAAAAAUGAAAACGGAAGCAAGAGGGUCAGAGAGAUACGCCGCAGUGGGAGCAGGCCGGAGAGAGGCUCUGCUGCUGGCUUUGUAGGUGGAGAGGGGGCCAUGAGCCGAGGGAUGCAGGUGGCUUCUGGAAGCUGAAAAAGACAAGGAAACCAAUUCUCUCCUAGGGCCUCCAGAGGAACCAGCGCUGCCGACUCCUUGAUUCUAACCCACUGAGGCCUAUUUUGGAUUUCUGCACCCCAGAACUGUGGGAGAGUAAAUUGUGCUGUUGAAGCCACCACAUUUGUGGUGAUCUGUUCCAGCUGCAGUAGGAAGCUCGUAUGCUUGGCAGUUCUGAUUGUGAACUCACCUUUAUGUUGGAGAUUCCUUUACACAUAAGUCCCCUUAUCCACAGCGGACAAAUUCCAUGACCCCCAGUGGAUGCCUGAAAUCGCGGAGAGUACUGAAUCCUACAUAUAAUGUGUUCUUUCCUAUAUGUAUAUGUAUAUAUCUAUAUCUAUGAUACAGUCUAAUUUAUAAAUUAGGCACAGUGAGAGAUUAACAACAAUAACUAAUAGUAAAAUAGGACAAUGAUGACAAUAUAAUGUAAUAAAAGUUUUGUGAAUAUGGUCUCUCUUCUCUCUCAAAAUAUCUUACUGUAAAAUUAGCUGGCCAUGGUGGCGUGUGCCUGUAGUCCCAGCUACUCAGGAGUGUGAGAAGGGAGGAUCACUUAAGCCUAGGAGGUGGGGGCUGCAGUGAGCCAAAGAUUGUGCCAUUGCACACCAGCCUGGGCAACAGAGUGAGAUCCUGUUUCUAAAAACAAACAAACAAAAAACAAACUUACUGAACUUAUUGUACUGAUAUUUUUGAACCAUGGUCGACUGUGGGUAACUGAAACCAUGAAAAAGUGAAACCACUGAUAAGGGGGAUUGCUGUACUCCCUGCUGUGUCAGUGACUCAGCCUCCCUGGUGGAGGGAACGGCUGCUGGGGAACACAUUGGAAGCUGGUCUUCUGGGUCCCCAGGAGGCAACCUAUUCAUGAAAAUAAUAUGUUCAUUUUAUACAAGUUGGAAAAUAUAGAAUAAUAUAAAUAAUUUGCAUAAGACUCAUAAUCUGGUUCACAGGCAACCAUUAUAAAUAUUUGAAAAAAAUUUUUUUUUUUUUUUAGACAAGAGUUUCGCUCUUGUUGCCCAAGCUGGAGCGCAAUGGC